GCAAGUCGAACGAGAAAGGGAUUGCUUGCAAUCCUGAGUAGAGUGGCGCACGGGUGAGUAACACGUAGAUAAUCUACCCUUAAGCCCGGGAUAACUAUUCGAAAGGAUGGCUAAUACCGGAUGAAGUGGUUUGGCAUAAGUCAAAUCAUGAAAGAUUGCCUCUUCUUGAAAGCAAUUGUUUGGGGAUGAGUCUGCGGACCAUUAGCUUGUUGGUGGGGUAAAGGCCUACCAAGGCUGCGAUGGUUAGCUGGUCUGAGAGGAUGAUC
rnacentral:rRNA from 1 species